UACGGGGGGAGCAAGCGUUGUUCGGAUUUACUGGGCGUAAAGGGCGGGUAGGCGGCCACCGCAAGUCAGUUGUGAAAUCUCUGGGCUUAACCCAGAAAGGUCAACUGAUACUGCGGGGCUAGAGUGCAGAAGGGGCAACUGGAAUUCUCGGUGUAGCGGUGAAAUGCGCAGAUAUCAGGAGGAACACCGAUGGCGAAGGCAGGUCUCUGGGCCACUACUGACGCUGAGAAGCGAAAGCAUGGGGAGCGAACAGG
rnacentral:rRNA from 1 species